GUGGGGAGCAUAGUGAGAUAAGGGUUAGGAAAACAGAGGAAAAGCUUUGGAAAAAACAGUGGAUAAUACAAGAAAGAAUUGAAAGUUACAGACCAUCCAUUUAAAAAAGAGUAGAAUUUAGUGCGACAGUAUUCAUAUAGCUAAAGCACCCGAUUUCGUUGUUCGGAACUCAAAUUUCGUCGAGAUUUCUCGAAAUUGGAGGUGGAGUUGGCUCUCUUUGCCCUGUUCGAGUUCCAGUAUCGCUGUCCAGGAAAGGUGAAAAGAAGGGAAAACACAGUUCAAAAAUACAGGGCAUAAAUUUCGACAAAAAAUGCAGGUCUUGGAAGGCCCAAAUGGGUCGGAUACACCGUGUAUACACUAGUAUACACAAAUUGUAUACAUAUUUUUGAAGGAAAAUAAGCCCAAUGUUUUAAGUGCAGGUGUAAAGGGAAAAAUGGCAAGGGUCAAGGCCCACUUACAGAUAGGACAGGGGAAGAAGUUGUGCCCAUCAGAUUUGUGGAUUUGGGCUGAUUAGCCCAAAUUAAUUUUUCAAUCCCUCUUCCUCUCUUUGUUUACUUAUGUUUGACUAACAUUGUGGUUUCAAUUUAAUUGAUUCUCAACGAUA